UCAGUUUCAACUUCUUUGCAAGGUUGUGCUGUUUCUUUGACAAACCGUUCUGCCUGUUUUCCAAUCAAAGCUUCUUCUUUCUCUACAUUAUGUGUUUCAGAUUCAUCAAUUCUUUCAGUGGCAGCUUCUGUCUCUUCCCUGUUUUGUUUUUUGGGUUCUUCAAUUGGUGGUUCUUUAGGUUUCUCUUCAAUUAUUGGUUCUUCAAGUUUCUCUUUACCUGCUAGUUCUUCAGGUAUCUCAUUAACUGUUGGUUCUUCAAAGUUCUCAACUGCUGAUUCCUCAGGUUUCUCCUCAACUGAUGGUUCUUCAUGUUUUUCAUCAACUGUAGCUUCUUCAGGUUUCACCUCAACUGUUGGUUCCUCAAGUUUUUGGUCAACUACUUGUUCUUCAGUUGCUAGUUCUUCAGGUUUCUUUUCAACUGCUAGCUCUUCACGUGUCUCUUUAACCACUGGUUCUUCAGGUGUUUCUUUCACCUCUGGUUCUUGAGAUUGCUCCUCAAUCACUGAUUCUUGGGGUUUCUCUUCACUUUUUGGUUUGGGUGUUACUUCAACUGCUGGUUCUUCAGGUUUUCCUUCAACUGCUAGUUCUUCAGGUUUUUCAUCAAUUGUUGGUUCUUCAAGUUUCUCUUGAACUGUUGGUUCUUUUGGUUUCUCUUGAACUUCUGGUUCUUGAGGUUUCUCUUCAAUCAUUGGUUGUUCAGGUGUUUCUUUCGCCACAGGUUCUUCUAGUGUCCCUUCAAUCACUGGUUCGUCGGAUUUCUCCUCAACCGCUGGUUCUUUGGGUUUCUCCUCAACUUUUGAUUCUUCAAGUUUCUCCCUAACAACUGGUUCUUCUGGUUUCUGUUCAACUGUCGGUUCCACUGGUUUCUCUUCAACUGCUGAAUCUUCAGGCGUUUCCUCAACUUCAAUGGUAUUGCAUGAAAUUUCUUGAGGUUUCUCGUCAACUAGUUGUUCAGGUGUCCCUUCAACUGCUGGUUUGUCAGGUUUCUCUGGUUCUUCGAGUUUCUCCUCAAUUUUUGGUUCUUCGGGUUUCUCCUCGAUGUCAAAUUCUUCCCGUUUCUCUUCAACUGUCGAUUCCUUGAGUUUCUCUUCAACUGCUGAAUCUUCGGGUUUUUCCUCAAUUUCAGCAAAAUCAUUGUUGGUAUUGCAUGAAAUUUCAUUGCCAGUCUUAUCAUUUGAGUCCACAACAUGCUUAUUCUGCUAGAAGAAAGUUUCACUUAAUUUUUCAAUAGAUAAGCAGAUGUGAAUUCAUUGCACAUACAUAACUAUUAGGAUGGACAACUUUGUGACAGUGUUUGAUCCUCACCUUUUCGAGGGGCGUUACCUUUUCAGCUGCUGCUUUCUCUAGUUUCUCUUCAACAACUACUUCUUCAUGUUUCUCUUCAGCUACUUGUUUGUCAGGUGUUUCUUCCCGUGCUGGUUUAUCAACUGUUUCUUCCCCUGCAACUGGUUCGUCAAGCUUCUCUUCAACUACUAAUUUUUCAGGUGUUUCCUCAACCAUUAGUUCUUCGAAUUUCUCCGAUACAACUGGUUCUUUAGGUUUCUCUUUCAGUGCAGGUUCCUCAUAUUUUUUUUCUAUUACUGUUUCUUCAUGUUUUUCCUCAACAGCUGGAUAGUCAGAAACAUCACUGUUGUCGUUGCACAGAAUUUCACCAUUAAUCUUGUCUGUUGAGUGACUUGAGUCCGUAUCUGGCAUAUUCUACAAGAAGAAUUUAAAGAUUCACUAAGACUUUUAAUAGAUAAGUAGAUGCAAAUUCCUUGCAUGUAUAGAGCUAAUAGGAUGGUAAACUCUGCGACAGUGCUCGAUUACCUUUUCCAAGAGAGUCACCGUUUCAACUGCUUGUUUUUCAGAUUUCUGUUCAAUAGCUAGUUCUUCCGGUGUCUCUUCAACUGCUGGUUUGUUGGGAUUCUCUUCAACUAUUAGGUCUUCAGGUGUUUCCGCUCUUGCUUGCUCUACAAGUGUUUCUUCAAUUGCCAAUUUUUGAAGUUUCUCAUUUAUUACUGGUUCUUCAGGUUUAUCCUCAACAAUUGGUUCCUCAUGUUUUUCCUCAACCAUUGGUUCUUCAGUUUUUUCCUCAACUGCUGGAUAGUCAGCAACAUCAAUGUUGGUAAUGCAUGGAGUUUCAGUGUCAGUCUUCCCUUUUGAAUCUAUAGCUGACAUAUCCUGCAAGAAAAAUUUAAAGUUUUACUUAGUCUUCCAAUAGAUAAACAUAUGUGAAUUGUUG
rnacentral:lncRNA from 1 species